rnacentral:rRNA from 1 species
UCGGGAAUAUUGCGCAAUGGGGGAAACCCUGACGCAGCAACGCCGCGUGGAGGAUGAAGGCCUUCGGGUUGUAAACUUCUGUCAGGUGGGAAGAAUCCCUAUAAGGUUAAUACCCUUAUAGAUUGACGGUACCAUCAGAGGAAGCCCCGGCUAACUCUGUGCCAGCAGCCGCGGUAAUACAGAGGGGGCAAGCGUUGUUCGGAAUUAUUGGGCGUAAAGGGCGUGUAGGCGGCCGAUUAAGUCAGAAGUGAAAUCCCACGGCUCAACCGUGGAACUGCUUUUGAAACUGUUCGGCUUGAGUUCGGUAGAGGAAAGCGGAAUUCCCAGUGUAGCGGUGAAAUGCGUAGAUAUUGGGAAGAACACCAGAGGCGAAGGCGGCUUUCUGGACCGAUACUGACGCUGAAACGCGAAAGCCAGGGGAGCGAACGGG